UACGUAGGGCGCAAGCGUUGUCCGGAUUUAUUGGGCGUAAAGAGCUCGUAGGCGGUCUGUCGCGUCGGCUGUGAAACCCCGAGGCUCAACCUCGGGCCUGCAGUCGAUACGGGCAGACUAGAGUGUGGUAGGGGAGACUGGAAUUCCUGGUGUAGCGGUGAAAUGCGCAGAUAUCAGGAGGAACACCGGUGGCGAAGGCGGGUCUCUGGGCCAUAACUGACGCUGGAGGAGCGAAAGCCGUGGGGAGCGAACAGG
rnacentral:rRNA from 1 species